rnacentral:misc_RNA from 1 species
AAAGUCGUAACAAGGUUUCCGUAGGUGAACCUGCGGAAGGAUCAUUAUCGAUUCAUGAGGUAAGCCGUAAGUCUGGCGUGUUAAAGUCGCUAACCAGCAGGCCCCUCUAAUUGAACCCUUGUCUAUUGCGUACCUAUGUUUCCUCGGUGGGCUUGCCCGCCGAUUGGACAAACUUAAAACCUUUUUAAUUGUUAAAUCAGCGUCUGAAACAAACUUAAUAAUUACAACUUUCAACAACGGAUCUCUUGGUUCUG